rnacentral:rRNA from 1 species
AAUAGAUACCCGGGUAGUCCUAGCCGUAAACGAUACUCGCUAGGUGUCGGCCACGGUGCGACCGUUGUCGGUGCCGUAGGGAAGCCGUGAAGCGAGCCACCUGGGAAGUACGGCCGCAAGGCUGAAACUUAAAGGAAUUGGCGGGGGAGCACCACAACGGGUGGAGCUUGCGGUUUAAUUGGAUUCAACGCCGGAAAUCUUACCGGGACCGACAGCAAUAUGAAGGCCAGGCUGAAGACUUUGCCGGAUUAGCUGAGAGGUGGUGCAUGGCCGUCGUCAGUUUGUACUGUGAAGCAUCCUGUUAAGUCAGGCAACGAGCGAGACCCACGCCCACAGUUGCCAGCGUACUCUCUGGAGUGACGGGUACACUGUGGGGACCGCCGCUGCUAAAGCGGAGGAAGGAAUGGGCAACGGUAGGUCAGUAUGCCCCGAAUAGUCCCNGGGGCUACACGCGAGCUACGAAUGGUUGGUACAAUGGGGUAAUCGUACCCCGAAAGGGCGGAAUCUCUAAAACCAAUCUAGUUCGGAUUAAGGGCUGCAACUGCCCUCA